rnacentral:rRNA from 1 species
CCUACGGGUGGCAGCAGUGGGGAAUAUUGGGCAAUGGACGCAAGUCUGACCCAGCAACGCCGCGUGAAGGAAGAAGGCUUUCGGGUUGUAAACCUCUUUUAAUGGGGAAGAGCAGAAGACGGUACCCCUUGAAUAAGCUACGGCUAACUACGUGCCAUCAGCCGCGGUAAUGCGUAGGUGGCAGGCGUUGUCCGGAUUUACUGGGUGUUAAGGGCGUGCAGCCGGUGAGACAAGUCAGAUUGGAAAUUCGCAGGCGCAACCUGCGAACUGCAUUUGAACCUGUUUCCCUUGAGUAUCGGAGAGGUAAUCGGAAUGCGUAGUGUAGCGGUGAAAUGCGUAGAUAGUAGGAAGAACACCAGUGGCGAAGGCGGAUGACUGGACGAAAACUGACGGUGAGGCGCGAAAGCGUGGGGAGCAAACAGGAUUAGAUACCCGAGUAGUC